GUGAGGUUGCUGUGAGCUGACAUAGUGGAAGACAUUUAGCCCAUCGAGUAUGUUGUAAGAAAAUAUUGGAUUGUUUAUAUUCACUGAUGAGGAAACAAGGCUUCCUCUUAACAAGCCACCCAAAAAAUGGCACCACCCUCAGGCUAACUCUCCC